rnacentral:misc_RNA from 1 species
GAUGAAGAACGUAGCGAAAUGCGAUAAGUAGUGUGAAUUGCAGAAUUCAGUGAAUCAUCGAAUCUUUGAACGCACAUUGCGCCCCUUGGUAUUCCAUGGGGCAUGCCUGUUCGAGCGUCAUUUGUACCUUCAAGCUUUGCUUGGUGUUGGGUGUUUGUCCAUUCUCUUGCAGAGGGACUCGCCUUAAAGUAAUUGGCAGCCAGUGUUUUGGUUUUGAAGCGCAGCACAAGUCGCGAUUCAACGCUAUACGCCAGCUUCCACAAGCCUUUCUCACUUUUGACCUCGGACCAGGUAGGGAUACCCGCUGAACUUAAGCAUAUCAAUAAGCGGAGGA